UAUAAUGAGAUUUGACUUUGU
rnacentral:piRNA from 1 species